GUUCAAUUUGAAUAGUUUGCUUGUUAGAUCUGCGUAUUCGUAAUGCGAAGGUCGUCAGUUCGAUUCUGGCUUUGGGCA
rnacentral:tRNA from 1 species